AUGCGAACAAAGAAAAAGCAGAGAUGCAAAGACACCAUGAUGGAAUUUAAGAACUUCCCUGGAUUGCAUUGUCCCCAGGCACCUCUUGCCCUGCUCUGUGAUAACUUGCUGGGUCCUAAGGAAGAAAGAAGUCUGCAGCUGUGACGGGAGUGGCCCUCGUGCCUUCCAGGACUCUGCAGGCUGCUGUGCUGUGAACGUCACCCGUGCUGGGGACACAGCUGGUGGCCAGGCACUCGUGCUCUGUCUCUGUGCUCUCAGCAUCACUUCAGUCUUCUCAGUCUCUGAACAGGAAUGUUGUGGAGAAGCACUUGCCUCAGUGUAGUUCAUCUGUGUUGUUCUGUGUCCUGAGGACCCGCUGCUGCUCCAGUGAACACUUUAAACAUCUCUGUUCUCCUUCCAAGUUCUCAAGCUGCUGCUGACUUUCAACUCCAAGUGUCCAGUGUUUUGGGCUUUUCUCAAAUGAGAUUCCUGAACCAGGUGAGUUCCUCCUAGUGCAACCAGCACAUGGAUUAGCCUAGGUA
rnacentral:lncRNA from 1 species